UCGUUAAAGUAGAGUCGAUUAACAUUACAAUUAGUAUCGAUUUAGGAUUCAUUUAGGGUUAUGAUUAUUUCAGUCAUGUGUUUUGUUAUUUUGCCCUGUUUUGAUUCUGUGAUUUAAUUGACGUUUGGUUUCAAUUCAAAGAUUAGUAUUAACUUAGAACUUUCAGUGUUAUUUUACUUGGUCAUACAUUGAUUUUAGAGUUAAUAUCGUUGUUAGUUCAAAAAUUUAGGAUUUGUUUUGUUUAGAUGUUCGACUUUUCUGAAAUAUUGGUUUAACCAUGGUUAGUCUAGAGGGUUAGGAUUAAUAGACCAGGGUGGAAUGAGUUUAUUCAGUUUAGUAAUUUUUAGGUUCCAAAAGGAUAAUUUGGGGAUUAAACUAGAGGCAGGUUGGUUUUGGGGGAGGUAAUAACAUGGGUGUUAAAGGGAGGUUGUAUGUGAGGGAGUGAAGAGAGGAUUUCAGGUUUAUCUAGGGGAAUAGAGGGCUGAUUUGGGGGUCAAUUCUGGAGAGUUUUUGUGUCUGAUUGUUGAUGUGAUUGAGUUCUGUUUGGGUUGAAGUUCAACUUAAUUUCAAUAAAUCACAUUCGUUUGGACAAUUGCUGGUGUUGUGUUUCCUAGGGGGAACGAAUGAGAGAAUCGAGAAGCCUCUAUGGAUUUCAUGCCUCUAAAAGGCACUUUUCCGUGCCGUAGCGAACAAGUUUUUGAGCCUAGAAUUCCCCAAAAAAUUAGAAUUCCCUCAUUUUUCCUUCAGAUCAAAAACCGAAAUUCGAAUUCAAAAACAAAAAGCCAAAGACAAUAGAAAUCAAAAACCAAAAAAUCUAGAAGAUGCUAUCUGAUUACUUCUCCUUAGAUUACCUUUGAAUUUUAGCUUCAUUCGAGUUUUAGCUCAUUUCAAAAACAAAUAGAACAAUUUGAAUUUCUGUCGCUUUGUUUGAUAUUUAAAAUCUGAUUGUGUGAGUUUACUGGUGGAUCAAUGGUGGUUUAUUCAAGCUCACUCGACUGAAUAUUAGUGUUGUGUUUUCAAAAGUUGAUUCUGGAGAGUUUUUGGGUCUGAUUAUUGAUGUGGUUGAGUUCUGUUUGGGUUGAAUUUCACCUUAAUUUCAAUAAUCACAUUCGUUUGGACAAUUGCUGGUGUCGUGUUUCCUACACUUGUUUCUGAAUUGACUUUGCUGGAAUCUGAGCUAUUGUUCGAUUGCUACUCAUUUUGCUGCUGAUCUUCUCUUCUUCUUAUUGAACUUAUACUUCCAGGUACACAAUUUAACUCCAAGUUGAUGUAAUUUUGAAGUGGAAACAUAAAAUGAAUCGGAUCUAUGUUAUGGCUGCAAUUCUGCUCUCCUGUUAAUCUCUACUAUACUUUUGAGGAAUUUUGUAUGUGAUAUGAUAGGUUCCUUGUUGUAUUGAAUUAUAUGAACUAUAUUAUGGGAUUGUAUAUCUGAAUAUUAUUUUUUUGACAGUCUUAGUGUGUUAAUGUUGAAUUUCCAGUAGUUAAAAAGUCAAUACACAUGCCAUUUAGUCCCACCCGUUUCACGUAAAGGGCACGAGUGUCUUGUGUUCAGUUGAUAAUGCAAUUAUCUGAAGAACACUAAGGGAACAUCUUAAUAAUCUUGAGUUAACUGGACUAUUUUUGGGCUUACUAUUAACCUACGGAUUAUCAGCUGGGAUUGUGCCUGUGGAAGACCAAUUGAAAUUUAGUAAUAUAGUUUAAUUCCUGGCGAUUUUAAAAGAGUCCGUGUGCUUACAUAGUCGUUCAAGUGAUCCCUGUUAGUUAAGUACUGAUUAAUCAAAAUUGGUAUUAUUUUGGCCUAUUCACACUUUGGUUGAUUGAUAACAGAAUUUGAUAAGUUGUUUUGCCUCUCAUAAUCGUGUGAAAUUGAUACUUGAAAGUAAACUCGACAUAUGAUGUGAGGGAAUUUGUGCACUUUUCUAUAAUAAUUAGAAACAAUGUUAAUUAGGCUCUAUAUAUGUAUUAGGUUCGACCGUUGGAACCAGUUAAUUGGGCACUCGAUAGGGCAUGUGCUUCAUUUACGCUGGGCUUAGAUAUUGUUUUCAAGGUUUUGAGUUAGGUAGCGGGUUCAAACUAAGAGGCUCUUCCUUUUGUUUGGACCCGGAAUUGAACUCGAAGCCCGAAUUCAAAUGUAAUUAAUUAGGACCUUUUCUUUUCUUUUAGAAACAAAAACAAAUAGAAAAUAUAGUCGCUUUUAGGCUUAUCCUUUAAAAUAAAAUGAGACGAGCCUCGCCCAAUAAAAAGGCAAAAUUGUGUGACCCUCAAUAAAGGUAUAAAAAUAUUUUUAAAAUCGGAAAUGGUCGUUUAGCGAAUUUCACGACCCUCCCAAAAGAUGAUAAUGUGAUAGACUCUUUUAGACGCGAUUCUAAUAAAAUUACCUUCUUAUUUACGGGGCCCUCAAUAAAGGUUUAAAAAUAUUUAAAAAAUCGGGAAGGGUCGCUUAGCGAAUUUCGCGACCCUCCCAAAAGAUAAUGACGCGUUAGACUCUUUUUAGACACGACUCUAAUAAAAUUACAUUCUUAAACACGGGUGGGCAUUUCUAUAAUAAUUUAAAAACAAAAAAAAUAGUUCAAAUUUCUGUUGCUUUGUUUGAUAUUUGAAACCUAAUUGUGUGAGUUAACUGGUGGAUUAAUGGUGGUUUAUUCAAGAUCACUCGACUGAAUAUUAGUGUUGUGUUUUCAAAAGUCAAUUCUGGAGAGUUUUUGUGUCUGAUUGUUGAUGUGAUUGAGUUCUGUUUGGGUUGAAGUUCAACUUAAUUUCAAUAAAUCACAUUCGUUUGGACAAUUGCUGGUGUUGUGUUUCCUACACUUGUUUCUAAAUUGACUUUGCUGGAAUCUGAGCUAUUGUUUGAUUGCUGCUCAUUUUGCUGUUGAUCUUCUCUUCUUCUUAUUGAACUUCUACUUCCAGGUACACAUUCGAACCCCAAGUUGAUGUAACUUUGAAGUGGAAACAUGAAGUGAACCGGAUCUAUGUUAUGGAUGCAAUUCUGCCCUCCUGUUAAUCUCUACUAUAAUUUAGAGGAAUUUUGUAUGUGAUAUGAUAGGUUCCUCGUUGUAUUUAAUUAUAUGAACAGUAUUAUGGGAUUGUAUAUCUGAAUAUUAUUUUUUUGACAGUCUUAGUGUGUUAAAGUUGAAUUUCCAGUAGUUAAAAAAUGAAUAUAAACGCCAUUUAGUCCCACCUGUUUCAUGUAAAGGGCGCGAGUAUCUUGUAUUCAGUUUAUAAUGCAAUUAUCUGAAGAAUACUAAGGGAACAUCUUAAUAACCCUGAGUUAACUGGACUAUUUUGGGGCUUACUAUUAACCUAUAGAUUAUCAGCUGGGAUUGUGCCUGUGUAAGACCAAUUGAAAUUUAGUAAUGUAGUUUAAUUCCUA
rnacentral:lncRNA from 1 species